UGGAACUCCAUGUGGAGCGGUGAAAUGCGUAGAUAUAUGGAAGAACACCAGAGGCGAAGGCGAGGACUUGGGCCAAUACUGACGCUUAGGCUUGAAAGUGUGGGGAGCAAAUAGGAUUAGAUACCCUAGUAGUCCACACUGUAAACGAUGGAUGUUAAGUGUCGGAGCGAAUACUUCGGUGCUGCAGUUAACACAUUAAACAUCCUGCCUGAGUAGUACAUUCGCAAGAAUGAAACUCAAACGGAAUUGACGGGGACCCGCACAAGUGGUGGAGCAUG
rnacentral:rRNA from 1 species